CUCCCUUCCUCACCCACCCUGGGUCAUUCAUUUUCCCAGACCUUGGCUUACCCUAUCUCCUUGCCUGAAUAUCCUCAGCAAAUCCUGCCAGCUCUUCCAGGCCCAGCUCCACUCCUCCCUUCUCCCCAGUCCGAGUGGUGCUGAGGAAGCACUGCAGGGUGGAUGGAUGUUUGGAUGUUAUCUGAGAAGCAUCUGCUUUGCAGAACCUCCCAGGGAAGGGGAGGGACUCCUGAAGAUAUUGAUUUCACAAUUAACCCUCAGAGAAGGAGUCUCUUUACAACCUCUUUCCUGGAGACUAGACUCACUGUUGAUUGCAUCACUUACAGAAACCCUGUCAAAGUGAGGAAGGCUCCUUCCAUCCCCCAGAUUCCAGGGAAUCAUCCCACUCCCGAGCAGAUUCACCCGAAAUAUGAAAGAAGCAGGAGAUAUAACCUAUAACAAGGAGAAAAACAAGAAAUUCCCUUUUUGUUUUGUCUGGAGGAUAUGUGUCCAGCUAUGGCUCCUGGAUCUAAGGGGAGGAAGUAAGUUGGUAAGGGAAUAUCUCUGUGUUUAGUGUGCAUAUU
rnacentral:lncRNA from 1 species